UACAGAGGGGGCAAGCGUUAUUCGGAAUUACUGGGCGUAAAGGGCGCGUAGGCGGUGCCUUAAGUCGGAUGUGUAACCCCCGAGCUCAACUUGGGAACUGCAUCCGAGACUGGGGUGCUAGAGUGCUGGAGAGGGUGGUGGAAUUCCACGUGUAGCGGUGAAAUGCGUAGAGAUGUGGAGGAACACCAGUGGCGAAGGCGGCCACCUGGACAGUAACUGACGCUGAGGCGCGAAAGUGUGGGGAG
rnacentral:rRNA from 1 species